GACGAGGGGUGCAAGCGUUGUCCGGAAUGAUUGGGCGUAAAGCAUCUGUAGGUGGUUUUUAAAGUCAACUGUUAAAGCCCAGGGCUUAACUUUGGAAAAGCGGUUGAGCACUUAAAAACUCGAGUUUGGUAGGGGUAGAGGGAAUUCCUAGUGGAGCGGUGAAAUGCACAGAGAUUAGGAAGAACACCAGAGGCGAAAGCGCUCUACUGGGCCAAAACUGUCACUGAGAGAUGAAAGUUGGGGGAGCGAAUAGG
rnacentral:rRNA from 1 species